GAUGAACGCUGGCGGCGUGCCUAAUACAUGCAAGUCGAGCGAACAGACGAGGAGCUUACUCCUCUGACGUUAGCGGCGGACGGGUGAGUAACACGUGGAUAACCUACCUAUAAGACUGGGAUAACUUCGGGAAACCGGAGCUAAUACCGGAUAAUAUUUUGAACCGCAUGGUUCAACAGUGAAAGACGGUCUUGCUGUCACUUAUAGAUGGAUCCGCGUCGCAUUAGCUAGUUGGUAAGGUAACGGCUUACCAAGGCAACGAUGCAUAGCCGACCUGAGAGGGUGAGCGGCCACACUGGAACUGAGACACGGUCCAGACUCCUACGGGAGGCAGCAGUAGGGAAUCUUCCGCAAUGGGCGAAAGCCUGACGGAGCAACGCCGCGUGAGUGAAGAAGGUCUUCGGAUCGUAAAACUCUGUUAUUAGGGAAGAACAAAUGUGUAAGUAACUAUGCACGUUUUGACGGUACCUAAUCAGAAAGCCACGGCUAACUACGUG
rnacentral:rRNA from 1 species